GACGAACCGUGCGAACGUUGUUCGGAAUCACUGGGCUUAAAGGGCGCGUAGGCGGUUGAUCAAGUCUGGGGUGAAAUCUUUCGGCUUAACCGGAAAAGUGCCUUGGAUACUGGUCAGCUGGAGGGAGGUAGGGGCAGUUGGAACUUCCAGUGGAGCGGUGAAAUGCGCAGAUAUCGGGAGGAACACCUAUGGCGAAGGCAGCUCGCUGGGACGUUACUGACGCUGAGACGCGAAAGCGUGGGGAGCAACAGG
rnacentral:rRNA from 1 species